ACACUGACACGCGUCCCCCAUUGCAGUUAUAUGAAUGAAAUCUAACGGGAAACCAAUUCAGGCUGCUAUCAAUCACCAUUUAUUCAAUCCUCCAGGCUCCAUCUCUCCUCUCAUUCAGAGAGGGGCCAAUUUCCGUACACACACGCAGAGGGGUUUUUGUGGAGUGGAGUGUGUUUGAUUUGAUCUGAGACUGAGAUGGUCAUGACGGAGGUGAUUUGGUGGGAGAAAAUGGUGAUUCCGAUGCGGAAAGUUUGGGGCAGAGUCUCCAGAAGGUUUGGAUUUCGUAAAACAGGGCUCAUUAAACUUCACAAAGACGUGAGGACAUGUGAGUACGAGGAUGUCCAUAUCUUAUGGGACUUGCUGAAGAGGAACGAGGCAGACCUCGCCAGAAGCAGAAAAGGGCGUUCGUGGAGGUUCCAGUGGGCGCAGUGCUCCUCCUUGCUUUGCCGCUGAUCUUAAUUAACCUGCUCCUGCUUUGGACUUUUGAACAACAUGCAUAUGCAGUGUGUGUGAGCUGUGAAGAUCAUACCAUUUUGCUGUCUUAUACAGUACUCGGUAUCCUAUUUUCUCUUGUUCAUUGGAGAAUUUGUGAAUAUCUUCAUGUAAAUGUCCUAUGAUGUUUCUCCCUACACUCAAACAUAGGUUUCUCUUUUUGGGUUUUUUCUUUAUGUAGAAGGGAUACUGGAGAUGGCUAAUGUAUGAUGUUAUGGUGGCUCUCCAACUGUAUGUUUGUUGGAAUCAAAAAACCCUUUCCCAUUCUUGGGAUGCUGCAAUUACCUUCUCUUGGUUUCUUUUAUUAUUCUUAGUUUUCAGCAUCUGAAAUUAUUUUUGUCUGACCUUUAAAAGGCUUUACAAAUUCACUCUAUCUUCCUAUAUGAUGAUUACAUAAUAACCUUGUUUCUUUAUGUUUUUAUCUUCAUUCUUCUUCAAUUUUAUUAAAUUUGCCUCAAUUCUACUCUAUGGCAAAAUGCCAAGUCCACAUGCAAGCCCAACAUCCUCCAAGAUAAAGAUAAUUUUUAAACAUGAUUUAAUGUGGUUGAAAUAAAUAGCCAUGUUGUAUUUUAUCAAAACACCAAUCUUGCAUUGAAUUCCUUCACCUCACACAUUUACACCUCUGCAAAUUUGUGCAGCAAAAUUGAGGAAAAUUAAAUCCCAUAGACAGCGAAAGCUCACAUGAUCAUUUAUCACGAUUGCUAUUUCGCUCCCAAUUUUUGUUGCUGUAUUCAUUAAUUUUAGGGUAUGGGCUGUUUCUCCUUAUCUCUACGGAUUUCGCGGUCGACUGAAUCGAAGAAGAAAUCGAGAGAAAUUUGUAAAUGGGUUGAGUUUGUUAUAUAAGUCGGGGCUGCUUCUUUGUUUCUUUCUCUGUAAUUUCUGCAAUUUCUCCUUUUUUUGGCAUUUUCGUGUCGAGAAAACUUUUUUUUUUCUGUUUUUGAAAUGAGAGGUUUUGGAUUCUUGUGUUUGCUCUUGUUGAUUGGGACAGCUGCUUUUGUUUACCAUGGAUUUUCUUGUGGAGAAAAAUUGAGCUCAAAUCCAGGUAUGGUUUCAAGAGGGAGCAAUGCUAUGGCAUUGGUACUGAAAAGCAGGAAGCUUAAGGAGAAUAGGCAUCCUCCUACACCAGACGAAGAUGAAGAUCGUUUCAGUCUGGAGGAUUACCGGCCCAUUGAUCCAGUCCCAAACUCGAAGGCUUCAAUAAGACACGGACCCAUCCAGCACGGUACUCCUCUAAUGCCCUAUAUCCCACCUGCUCCUGGUAAACCACAACACGGCGGCUAACACUUUCUCCUCAUUGCUAAUAAUACCACUUCCACUGAGAAAUGAUGUACUAAUAACUAUGUAGUUUCAAGAAGAUAUUCUCUCUGGUGUUUCCUUUGCAUAUUUUCUCAAUGUAACAUUUGUGUCAGAUAUGUGUAUUGUUACAACCUUAA